UACGGAGGGGGUUAGCGUUGUUCGGAAUUACUGGGCGUAAAGCGCGCGUAGGCGGAUUGGAAAGUUGGGGGUGAAAUCCCAGGGCUCAACCCUGGAACUGCCUCCAAAACUACCAGUCUAGAGUUCGAGAGAGGUGAGUGGAACUCCGAGUGUAGAGGUGAAAUUCGUAGAUAUUCGGAAGAACACCAGUGGCGAAGGCGGCUCACUGGCUCGAUACUGACGCUGAGGUGCGAAAGUGUGGGGAGCAAACAGGAUUAGAUACCCUGGUAGUCCACACCGUAAACGAUGAAUGCCAGUCGUCGGAUAGCAUGCUAUUCGGUGACACACCUAACGGAUUAAGCAUUCCGCCUGGGGAGUACGGUCGCAAGAUUAAA
rnacentral:rRNA from 1 species